GACGAACGCUGGCGGCGUGCUUAACACAUGCAAGUCGAACGUGAUUUUUGUGGAAAUUCUUUCGGGAAUGGAAAUGAAAUGAAAGUGGCGAACGGGUGAGUAACACGUGAGCAACCUACCUUACACAGGGGGAUAGCCGUUGGAAACGACGAUUAAUACCGCAUGAGACCACAGAAUCGCAUGAUAUAGGGGUCAAAGAUUUAUCGGUGUAAGAAGGGCUCGCGUCUGAUUAGCUAGUUGGAAGGGUAAAGGCCUACCAAGGCGACGAUCAGUAGCCGGUCUGAGAGGAUGAACGGCCACAUUGGAACUGAGACACGGUCCAAACUCCUACGGGAGGCAGCAGUGGGGAAUAUUGCACAAUGGGGGGAACCCUGAUGCAGCGACGCCGCGUGAGCGAAGAAGGUUUUCGAAUCGUAAAGCUCUGUCCUAUGAGAAGAUAAUGACGGUAUCAUAGGAGGAAGCCCCGGCUAAAUACGUGCCAGCAGCCGCGGUAAUACGUAUGGGGCGAGCGUUGUCCGGAAUUAUUGGGCGUAAAGGGUACGUAGGCGGUUUUUUAAGUCAGGUGUGAAAGCGUGAGGCUUAACCUCAUUAAGCACUUGAAACUGGAAGACUUGAGUGAAGGAGAGGAAAGUCGGAAUUCCUAUUGUAACGGUGAAAUGGUAGAUAUAGGAGGAAUACCGGUGGCGAGGUUCUUUUUGAGUUUCCUGG
rnacentral:rRNA from 1 species